GCGAGAGAACCUAAAUUCUUUCUUAUCAGCUUUUAGAUGGGGAACCAAGAACUUAGGGGCUUCGACAAAACAAUGGAGACUCUCAAUGGCACCAUGAGUGUUCUUAGCAACAGCAUCAACUACAAAAUUCGCCUCCCUCAGAAUGUGUCUAACUAAAAAAUUUUCAGGAUUUGUAAGCAAGAGCUUGAUAGCUCGAAUCAACGAAGUUGAAGCGUGGCGUUGCCCAUGAUGGUGAUGGAGGAGUUAGAUGACACACAUAGAGUUGGUCUUGAUCUCUAGAUUUUGAAGGUUAAGGUCUAAGGCAAGCUUCAAUCCAAUAUAUAGCCCCUAAAUUUCAGCCAUAGUGAUGAAAUUAUUACCGAUUCUUAGCAUGAAUCCUGCAACUAGUCUUCCAUGAUGGUCCCAGAUCAAUCCGCCGCAAGUGUCGACACUUGUAGAGAAAGAGAAAGAGCCAUCCAUGUUCAACUUAUACCACCCCGCCACAGGAUCAACCCAACCUAUAUAUUGCAUUGUUGGUGAGAGUUUCCGGUUGUGAAAAAGAAAAUGUUCCAAGAAGUCACAUAAGAAUUGCGAGUCCCUAAACUCAGAUUGCUCUCCAGCCAGCUUUACAUGUCUUGGUUGAAGAACUCGAUGUGAUUAGUAUUAUUGACAUUUUUGACCCAAAUGCUACGGAUGUAAGGACAGUCCCAGAGCACAUGGAGCAGGGUCUCUUCAUGGUUAUGGCACCUUAGGUAGCUUACAUCAUUGAUCUCUCAUGCUGGCGGUGGUGAUGUUGGGGGUUGUUCCUGAUGUGGUGAUGGAGGUUGAGGUAGAUUGGACUUGGUAUUGCCCCGAUACUUUAGAUUAUGUACUGGAUGGAUAAGAAUCAGCGAUGUAAGUUGGUUGGGUAGGAAGUCCUUAGGCAUGCCCUUGGUCUCUUCGCUUUUAAAUGAUUUACUUUAGAAAUUUGUAAACUAAAGAAGAUUCUUUACGAUAUUUCCGAAGUAAGAUUUCUUAUAAAACUUUUUCAAAGUGUAUUUUAAAAAGAAACUGUUUUUAUAAUGGGAUUUUUCUAUUUACAAGUAUUUCUUUGCUUUGAUGGUAUUUCUUUUCCUACUGAGAACCUGUGAGGACGAUGUUCUCACCCCCUACAGAUUUUCUACAAAGCUAUAUGUAUUUGUAUUUUCUGUUUUUGGUUUAGUUGAGAUUUUUUCCCUCGUCAUUUGUCAUUUUGGUUACAGAGGGGUAGGACCUAUAUUUGAGAAUUUUUGAAAUAAGUCUAUGUAUAUAAUGCUAUGUGAAUAUACUUAUGUUAUUAAGUGGUUUAAA